GCCAAGCAUGGUGGCACAUGCUUGUAAGCCUUAUUGCUGGGGAGGCUGAGCCUGGUAGAUUGCUUGGGCUCCAGAGUUCUGAGGCUAAAAGCUGAUGAAUCGUCUGCAUUAAGUCCAGUAUGAGUUCAGAGAGCCCAUGGGAGGGAUGGGAGCACUAGACUGCCUAAGGAGGACUGAACUAGCCCGGCACAGAAACAAAGCAGAUCAAAGCUUCCAUGCAGAUUGGCAGUGGGAUUGGGCUGAGUGGCCACUGCCCUUCCAGCCUGGGCAAGAUAGUGAGGCCUAGUCUCA
rnacentral:SRP_RNA from 1 species